UUUAGAAACACUGCUCUGGACCCGUGGAUUGCAUCCCGAGAAGGCGAGCGACGCGUGCGACCUAUCUUUCUCCCUCUCGCGACAGCGGUGGCGCCGGCGGCGAUUCGAACGGACGGGACGUUGGCGGAGACUCGGUCGUGGCCGGCUGGAGGAGAGGAGCUCCUCUAAGAUGAUGCCGCCCUUCCUCGACGCUGACGCCGACGGUGGCCGGCUGGAGGAGAGGAGGCCGACCGAAGACCUCCGAGGAAGCUCCAGAUCUCCUGCAUCUCCGCCUUCCCCGACUCCGACGCCGGCUGUCACCUGGAGCACCACAUUGCCCUUACCUAUUCGAUUCUGGGCUGACUAUUCCCUGCAACUUCAAGUCACUUGAUCACUAGCUGAAGGUAUAUGAUGGAGCACUAGAGUUCUACAUGAAGAAGCUCUAGAAGAUGGGCAUGGGUGAAGAUGGGCAUGUGUUUAAUCACAAUCUUGUGAAUAAAAGAUGUCCAGCUUGCUAUCAUUGGUGCAUAGUUUACUACAAUUUCACCUGUCUGUCCAUUUUCUUGUGAAUAAAAGUUGUUGUUGAGUAUCCUUUAACAUGACUCCAUGAAUUAGGUUGAGUAUCCUUUAAUAUUGCUUGCUAUUGACUGCUUAUCUUUACCAUAGAAAAAUAUCUUGAUAUGCUUUGCUUUUCUUUUUCUAACGAGUUGUAUCCCUGUUAGUGCCUGUGAUAUUUGUGUCUAGCUAGGUGUAUGCCCAAUGCGUUUGUGUUCAGUAAGGUGUCUCUUGAAUAGCAUUUUAAGUAUUGGUUGUUGGUCCUGCU